rnacentral:rRNA from 1 species
CCUACGGGAGGCAGCAGUGAGGAAUAUUGGUCAAUGGUCGGAAGGCUGAACCAGCCAAGCCGCGUGAAGGACGAAGGUGCCAAGCAUUGUAAACUUCUUUUGUCAAGGGACAAAAUCAGGCUCGAGAGCCUGACCGAGGGUACUUGAUGAAAAAGCAUCGGCUAACUCCGUGCCAGCAGCCGCGGUAAUACGGAGGAUGCGAGCGUUAUCCGGAUUUAUUGGGUUUAAAGGGUGCGUAGGGGGACUGUUAAGUCAGCGGUAAAAGGUCGGGGCUCAACCCCGGCGAGCCGUUGAUACUGGCUGUCUUGAGAAGUCGAGAGGUAUGCGGAAUGCGCAGUGUAGCGGUGAAAUGCUUAGAUAUUGCGCAGAACUCCGAUUGCGAAGGCAGCAUACCGGCGGCGAUCUGACGCUGAGGCACGAAAGCGUGGGUAUCGAACAGGAUUAGAUACCCGAGUAGUC